GUUGACCUCGGAUCACGUAGGAAUACCCGCUGAACUUAAGCAUAUCAAUAAG
rnacentral:rRNA from 1 species